rnacentral:rRNA from 1 species
UUGAACGCUGGCGGCAUGCUUUACACAUGCAAGUCGAACGGCAGCACGGGGGCAACCCUGGUGGCGAGUGGCGAACGGGUGAGUAAUACAUCGGAACGUGUCCUGUAGUGGGGGAUAACCCACCGAAAGGUGAGCUAAUACCGCAUACGAUCUCAGGAUGAAAGCGGGGGACCUUCGGGCCUCGCGCUAUAGGAGCGGCCGAUGUCCGAUUAGCUAGUUGGUGAGGUAAAGGCUCACCAAGGCUGCGAUCGGUAGCUGGUCUGAGAGGAUGAUCAGCCACACUGGGACUGAGACACGGCCCAGACUCCUACGGGAGGCAGCAGUGGGGAAUUUUGGACAAUGGGGGCAACCCUGAUCCAGCAAUGCCGCGUGAGUGAAGAAGGCCUUCGGGUUGUAAACCACUUUUGUCAGGGAAGAAACGGCUCUUACUAAUAUUAGGAGCUAAUGACGGUACCUGAAGAAUAAGCACCGGCUAACUACG